UGUAACACCUGCUCUGGCUGCUAUAGCUUUUAAAAGGCUGGGAGGGAGGGAUGGACCGACGACCCCCUCCUAUACCAAAUUAUAUAGAAAUACAUUUCUGCAAGUCGUUACUUUACGCUGUAUUAGAGUUGCCCAUUAUGUCCUGCCAUUUACUUUGAGUAGUGGCAGGAAGGUCUGAGGAUGCAUUACUGCUCCUCAUUUCUCUUGAAUGACUUGGUGUGGGCGUAAGGUAAGAACAAUAUUGAUCUGUCAUAUAUACUAGCUGCAGGACUGCUCCAUUUUAAAUGUGAAAAUACACAUUGUUUUACUGGAUUUGUUUGUCUGAAUCUCUCUGUUCAUUUGUUUGGGUUUAGGCACCUGUGCCCUUUAGACACCAAAGAUGUGGGGUGAUGACACUAGAACUCCAGCUCUAUGCUCAGUGUGUCCCAAGGGCCUACCUUGGAGAGGGGAAGACACAUUUCAUCCUAAGAGAGCAUCAGGUCAGCCUAUGAUUUUGAUAUCAAGACAUUUGCACUCUGAGUUUGUUGCCUUUUACUGUUUGUGUUUGUUUCUGGUGGUCUACCAAAGGAGAUAAGGAUGAGCCUCUCUCAAAAGAACAUCCAUUGGUGAACCCUCUGUCUGACACUUGGUUGUAUUCACACCUUCCUGGGUUGAGAAGUUCGUCACCAAGUCUUUCACAGCUGUGUAAAUUUACGGGUAGGAGCUGCAGGUGCCACAGUGAGAAGAAACAAUUCUACCUGUAAAUUCCCUGAACAUGUGCAUGGUGAGUGACAGUACAGUUUAUUCCUUUUAAUCUAAGGCUGCCAAUAAUUUCUCAAUGAUGCUCCAUGGCAUUUUGAAGAAGUUCUUUUUGUCUGGUAGAGUGUCACAGUGGCAGCCCCACACUGGCAGAGCAGCGCCUGAGCAACAGUUCCAGAGUACUGCAGCUAGACAGCUCUGUCUAUCAACUUGAGGAGGACCCACACACAUUGUAAGUUAACUUAAAUGUUGCAGUGUCUGUUUUCUGGUGUAUUUAAAUCAAUCUGUAAAAUUUCAUCUGGUUUCACAUUUUUUUCUCUCCUGUUCAGUGCUUCAGAGAGAGGUGAAGUUGGAUGUGCUGUGCAUGCGUCACCAUCCUGACAAGGGGUGCCGCCAUUGAUCUUGAACAGGACUCAAGCAUGUUGUGAGUCAACUGAACAGUUUAUUGAUCAUGAAGAGUUUUGUGACAUUUGCUAGAAAAGUUUAAAGGUAUUGAUAAUAAACAUAAAGUUUUGUCUGCCAGUGCUGUACAGGAAACCAAACCCUCUCCGUGUGUGACCGAUUAGCGGAGAAAAUUUCUGAUCCAGGAUUGGACAAGUUGUUGCUCACACAAUGCUGGACCUCUAACGGGUAUGUACUUGUCUUCAGCAGUCAUAUUAUUUCUUUGUGUUCAUCUGAUGUGACAACCUUCUCUCCUCUCUGUACAUCACAGAAGUCGACAUGAGCUGAAGAACUAGAAAAGUCCUGCAGAUCUUGUGACUGUGGCUUCUUAGAACCAAGCACCGAGUCUACAGCAGAGAAGGGUUCUGACCUGGGGAGCACCAGCUCUGAACUUCACCAAGUAUGUUUCAUCUUCAAAAUCUUUGACUUUUCCACACUACAACCAGCUGUGUAGGAUUUCAGUUUGUCGUCUGUAACACCGGUGUAAACUGUUGUCUUUUCCUCUCAACUCAUCACAGAACCAGCUCGACAUGAGCCACAGAGCCAAACCCAGCAACCAUGUGACCCUGAAGCCAUGUGAUCUCUGCUGAGCUUAGAACUCUAAAAUACUGCAUGCUCAGCCGUCCUGGUAGGGGAUCCCUCUAAGACCUGGCCUACCCAAAGGUUUCUUCCUCUUAUCCUGAGAAAGCUUUUUUGGGGGAGUUUUUCCUGACAUGCUUGGAGGGUCGAAAGGCUGACGGUGCCAUAUACCCCAGAUUUUUUUUCUGAUUCAAUGUCAAUAAAGAAAGUAAAUGAAAUUCUG
rnacentral:lncRNA from 1 species